rnacentral:rRNA from 1 species
GAUGAACGCUAGCGGCAGGCCUAACACAUGCAAGUCGAGGGGCAGCACGAUAAAGCUUGCUUUAUUGGUGGCGACCGGCGCACGGGUGCGUAACGCGUAUGCAACCUACCCUGUACUGGGGUAUAGCCCGGAGAAAUUCGGAUUAAUCCCCCAUAGUAUUAUUGAUUGGCAUCAAUUAUUAAUUAAAGGUUACGGGACAGGAUGGGCAUGCGUCCUAUUAGCUAGUUGGUGAGGUAACGGCUCACCAAGGCUCCGAUAGGUAGGGGGCCUGAGAGGGUGGUCCCCCACACUGGUACUGAGACACGGACCAGACUCCUACGGGAGGCAGCAGUAAGGAAUAUUGGUCAAUGGGCGGAAGCCUGAACCAGCCAUGCCGCGUGCAGGACGACUGCCCUAUGGGUUGUAAACUGCUUUUGUCCAGGAAUAAACCUAAAUACGUGUAUUUAGCUGAAUGUACUGGAAGAAUAAGGAUCGGCUAACUCCGUGCCAGCAGCCGCGGUAACAC